rfam:Rhizoctonia solani AG-1 IB, isolate 7/3/14, WGS project CAOJ01000000 data, contig: 13328
UUCUCAGUGGUCCAACGGUCAAGACUCGUGCCUGUCACUUGCGAAUGCAAUAUGAUCGCACGCAACCGGGGUUCGACUCCCCGCUGGGAAG